CCAGACUCCUACGGGAGGCAGCAGUAGGGAAUCUUCGGCAAUGGACGGAAGUCUGACCGAGCAACGCCGCGUGAGUGAAGAAGGUUUUCGGAUCGUAAAGCUCUGUUGUAAGAGAAGAACGAGUGUGAGAGUGGAAAGUUCACACUGUGACGGUAUCUUACCAGAAAGGGACGGCUAACUACGUGCCAGCAGCCGCGGUAAUACGUAGGUCCCGAGCGUUGUCCGGAUUUAUUGGGCGUAAAGCGAGCGCAGGCGGUUAGAUAAGUCUGAAGUUAAAGGCUGUGGCUUAACCAUAGUACGCUUUGGAAACUGUUUAACUUGAGUGCAAGAGGGGAGAGUGGAAUUCCAUGUGUAGCGGUGAAAUGCGUAGAUAUAUGGAGGAACACCGGUGGCGAAAGCGGCUCUCUGGCUUGUAACUGACGCUGAGGCUCGAAAGCGUGGGGAGCAAACAGGAUUAGAUACCCUGGUAGUCCACACCGUAAACGAUGAGUGCUAGGUGUUAGACCCUUUCCGGGGUUUAGUGCCGCAGCUAACGCAUUAAGCACUCCGCCUGGGGAGUACGACCGCAAGGUUGAAACUCAAAGGAAUUGACGGGGCCCGCACAAGAA
rnacentral:rRNA from 1 species